CCCUUAGAUGUUCUGGGCCGCACGCGCGCUACACUGAUGAAUUCAACGAGCCACACCUUGGUCGGAAGGCCUGGGUAAUCUUGUAAACGUUCAUCGUGAUGGGGAUAGAUUAUUGCAAUUAUUAAUCUUCAACGAGGAAUCUCUAGUAAACGCAAGUCAUCAGCUUGCAUUGAAUACGUCGAAUGUCCUUUGUACACACCGCCCGUCGCACCUACCGAUUGAACGGUCCGAUGAAAUCUCCGGACUUUCGCCUGGUCUUGUUUCGGCAAGAACGCGUGAAGGGAAGUUGAUUAAAUCUUACCGUUUAGAGGAAGGUGAAGUCGUAACA
rnacentral:rRNA from 1 species